rnacentral:rRNA from 1 species
UACGUAGGCGGAAAAUUAAGUCAGUAGUGAAAUCCUGCAGCUUAACUGUAGAACUGUUAUUGAUACUGGUUUUCUUGAAUAUAGUUGAGGUAAGCGGAAUGUGUAAUGUAGCGGUGAAAUGCUUAGAUAUUACACAGAACACCGAUUGCGAAGGCAGCUUACUAAGCUAUGAUUGACGCUGAGGUACGAAAGUGUGGGGAGCGAACAGGAUUAGAUACCCUGGUAGUCC